GUGCGUAACGCGUAUGCAAUCUACCUUUCACAGAGGGAUAGCCCAGAGAAAUUUGGAUUAAUACCUCAUAGUAUAUUGGUCUCGCAUGAGAUCAUUAUUAAAGAUUUAUCGGUGAAAGAUGAGCAUGCGUCCCAUUAGUUAGUUGGUAAGGUAACGGCUUACCAAGACUACGAUGGGUAGGGGUCCUGAGAGGGAGAUCCCCCACACUGGUACUGAGACACGGACCAGACUCCUACGGGAGGCAGCAGUGAGGAAUAUUGGACAAUGGGCGCAAGCCUGAUCCAGCCAUGCCGCGUGCAGGAUGACGGUCCUAUGGAUUGUAAACUGCUUUUAUACGAGAAGAAACACUGGUUCGUGAACCAGCUUGACGGUAUCGUAAGAAUAAGGAUCGGCUAACUCCGUGCCAGCAGCCGCGGUAAUACGGAGGAUCCAAGCGUUAUCCGGAAUCAUUGGGUUUAAAGGGUCCGUAGGCGGUCAGAUAAGUCAGUGGUGAAAGCCCAUCGCUCAACGGUGGAACGGCCAUUGAUACUGUCUGACUUGAAUUAUUAGGAAGUAACUAGAAUAUGUAGUGUAGCGGUGAAAUGCUUAGAGAUUACAUGGAAUACCAAUUGCGAAGGCAGGUUACUACUAAUAUAUUGACGCUGAUGGACGAAAGCGUGGGUAGCGAACAGGAUUAGAUACCCUGGUAGUCCACGCCGUA
rnacentral:rRNA from 1 species